rnacentral:rRNA from 1 species
UACGAAGGGGGCUAGCGUUGCUCGGAAUCACUGGGCGUAAAGCGCACGUAGGCGGACUCUUAAGUCGGUGGUGAAAUCCUGGAGCUCAACUCCAGAACUGCCUUCGAUACUGGGAGUCUCGAGUCCGGGAGAGGUGAGUGGAACUGCGAGUGUAGAGGUGAAAUUCGUAGAUAUUCGCAAGAACACCAGUGGCGAAGGCGGCUCACUGGCCCGGUACUGACGCUGAGGUGCGAAAGCGUGGGGAGCAAAAGGG